UACGUAGGCAGCGAGCGUUGUUCGGAGUUACUGGGCGUAAAGAGUGCGUAGGCGGUGUUCCAAGUCUGUUGUGAAAUCUCCCGGCUUAACUGGGAGGGUGCGGCGGAAACUGGGACGCUGGAGUACGGGAGAGGUAAGCGGAAUUCCUGGUGUAGCGGUGAAAUGCGUAGAUAUCAGGAGGAACACCUGCGGUGUAGACGGCUUACUGGACCGUAACUGACGCUGAGGCACGAAAGCGUGGGUAGCAAACAGG
rnacentral:rRNA from 1 species